UUUUAUUAUGUCGAACUUAGUAUUUUUAUUGGAUUGACAAAUCCAAAUAAAAAAAAAAGACCAACAAUCAUGAAUCAAGAAAACAGAAUAAAAAAGAAAACCAACAAUCCAACAUCAACAAGUGCUCGUGGUUGUAUAAAAACCAUCGUCCGUUCGCCACGCCGUGUAGAUCGAACUAGUAACCUUUCGAUUAUGUCUGGAACGAAUCAUAGGCCCCUUCCCUUUUCCAUCUUCAAUUUUUUAAUCCAAUUAGACAUCCUACAAAUAUAAGAGAUAUUUAAAUAAGUAAAAUUUAAAUUUAAAAAAACAAAAAAAAAAACAACACUGGUGAACGCUCACCAGCAUUUUGCACGCCCAAACCCGACAUGAAAAAUGCUGGUGAACGCCCGAUUUGGGCGUUAACCGAGCGCAGUUUUGACCAAAAACAACCCUAUAAUUCGUUUUUAGGGUUGUUUAACAUGCAAUUACAACCGAAAUUUCCUACCCAAUGCAAUUAAAACGUUUAGGAGUUGAAAAUACCUCAAAAUUUCGAUGAAUUCGGCUUGAUUUGGCUUCAAUACGAAUUUUUUGAUUUUUUUUUUUUUUUUUUUAGAGGGAGAAAACUUUUUGGGGUAUGAGUUGCAAAUAGCAAUUUUCAGACCCCAAAAAGCAUUUCACUAAAAUAAAGGGGAGAUUAGUUGGAAGGCUCUACAAAACGCGCUCUUGAUGGCUCGUUUAUUAAUUGCGACUUCUCCACAAUAUUAUUGAGCGGUUUAGUGAUUUGUAAUUGGAGUAAUUAUUUGUGUAAGAUAUAUCUAAUAUUUGAAAUCAUGUAAAGAUCAUAAAGGCAUUCUAAGAUCAAGGAAAAAAAAAUUAAAUCAAAGUUAAAACAAAUUUUCUAGCCUUCACUCAAUGAUAACAUGUCUAAAUCAUGCAAACUUUCCUCUCAUUUCAAGGACAAUCUAUUUAUACUUGCGCCGAGACGCAAACUUUAAUUUUUUAUCUUCAAAUUCAAUAUUCAAUUAUUUUAGUUUUAAUAUGAAAAGUAAUAAGAUUCAAGAUUUCAUCUAUGAUUUAUAUUAUUUGAAGCCGAAAAUUUUAGAGGUUUUUAUUUAAUAUUUAAAUGUAGGAGACUACGGGUGUGAGAAGAGAUUAGGAAUUACCUUCAAACAGCUGAUCUACAACCAGUAUCUCAGGCACCACGUCAAACGUCCUUAGAUCAAAUUCAAAGGAUUUUGGAAGGAGGUCAACCCUAGCCCUCGUAUGCCUAAAGUUGUAACUUCGUCUAGAAUUAGAAGCCAUUACGAAAAAUAGCCUAAAAACAAUCCAGGGAGAGUCAAAAUCAUUGGCUACAGAUUAAAAAACGGAAGAUGAAUGAAGAUUAAACUGAACUGAAAGAAGAAAAAAAAAUACCUUCGAUUGAAGUGGAUUUCAGUGAGUACAAAGAAUAAGAGUGAGACAGCUAUACACUAUUUACAGUACAAGGAUAGGCAUAAGGUAUUAGUACAAAGAGUUAAAUGGCAAAGAAGAUGUAGUACAAAUAUUAAUUGCUCCAAUACCAUAAAUAGGCAAAAAAUAGAACCAAUCAAGACCAAAAAAAAGUACUGCAGCUAGCAGCAAGAAAACAGAGGUUAAGAGUCGUGAUCAGGGCUAAAGCUUUUUUUAUUUUAAUAUUUAAAUGUAGAGAGAUUACGGGUGUGAGAAGAGAUUGGGGAUAACAUACAAACAUCUGAUCUACAAUCGGUAUCUCAGGCUCUACGUAAACCUUUCUUUCAAAGGAUUUUGGAAGGCGGUCAGCCCUAGCUCUCGUAUGCCUCAAGUUUUAACUUCG
rnacentral:lncRNA from 1 species